UUUGGGUGAGACAAAUCAAUUCGUUAGUAGCAAAAUCUCUUUCACAAAAGAUAUUGAUUAUGGAUUUGACUCCAUGAUACCUUGUGGUUCUUUGGAUAAUUUGCAUUUCAAGGUAAUUUGACGUUCUUUUCUGCAGAUACAAAUCAUCCUCUGAGGAGGUUGCAACAACUUUUGAUGUCACAUUUGCCAUGCUUUCAGACCCUGAGAGUGCAGCGGAUGUUGCUUGUGAAAAAUAUGGAGCUGCAAAAGGAAUGGGUCCAGGAAAAGGGUGGUGUGAGCUUGUAUAACUAAUGCAGUUUUUAUUUGCUACAUACAGAAGAAAUUCAAAUGGCUCCCUCACUAUACUGAUGCUAUAAGACGUAAUUUUGAGAAAAUGGCAUCUGCAAGGAUGACACAACUUUUUCAAGAUGUUAGGAAAAAUUUGCCUCUGAAAUCAAUGAAAUCACACAAAGUGAGAUGUGGCUAAGGUUUUUCCUGAAAUUUGUGUGGUGUAUCAAGUUUAUUCAUUCAUAAUUUUGGUCAAGUUUGAACGUAUACAACACACCAUCUUCAAAUGGACAAUCAUCUCAAGAAGACAAUCACGCUCAUGAUGAGGAUGAAAGUGGUGAUGAC